UAGUCCACGCCGUAAACGAUGGAUACUAGCUGUUCGAUCUUCGGAUUGAGUGGCUAAGCGAAAGUGAUAAGUAUCCCACCUGGGGAGUACGUUCGCAAGAAUGAAACUCAAAGGAAUUGACGAGGGCCCGCACAAGCGGUGGAGCAUGUGGUUUAAUUCGAUGAUACGCGAGGAACCUUACCAGGGCUUAAAUGUAGAUUGCAUUAGCUAGAGAUAGCUAUUUCUUCGGACUACUUACAAGGUGCUGCAUGGUUGUCGUCAGCUCGUGCCGUGAGGUGUCAGGUUAAGUCCUAUAACGAGCGCAACCCCUGUUGUUAGUUGCCAGCGAGUAAUGUCGGGAACUCCAGCAAGACUGCCGGUGCAAACCGUGAGGAAGGUGGGGAUGACGUCAGGUCCUCAUGGCCCUUACGGGUUGGGCUACACACGUGCUACAAUGGUAGUGACAGUGAGUUAAUCUCCAAAAACUAUCUCAGUUCGGAUUGUCGUCUGCAACUCGACGGC
rnacentral:rRNA from 1 species